rnacentral:rRNA from 1 species
CCUACGAGAGGCAGCAGUGAGGAAUAUUGGUCAAUGGGCGUAAGCCUGAACCAGCCAAGUCGCGUGAGGGAUGAAGGUUCUAUGGAUCGUAAACCUCUGUUAUCAGGGAAUAAAGUGCGGGACGGGUCCCGUUUUGUAUGUACCUUAUGAAUAAGGAUCGGCUACCUCCGUGCCAGCAGCCGCGGUAAUACGGAGGAUCCGAGCGUACUCCGGACUUAUUGGGUUUAAGGGGUGCGUAGGCGGCCUUUUAAGUCAGCGGUGAAAGUCUGUGGCGCAACCAUAGAAUUGCCGUUGAAACUGGGAGUCUUGAGUAUGUUUGAGGCAGGCGGAAUGCGUGGUGUAGCGGUGAAAUGCUUAGAUAUCACGCAGAACCCCGAUUGCGAAGGCAGCCUGCCAAGCCAUGACUGACGCUGAUGCACGAAAGCGUGGGGAUCAAACAGGAUUAGAUACCCCAGUAGUC